rnacentral:SRP_RNA from 2 species
GCCGGGCGUGGUGGCGGGUGCCUGUAAUCCCAGCUACUUGGGAGGCUGAGACAGGAGAAUUGCUGGAACCCAGGAGGCAGAGGUUGCAAUGAGCCGAGAUCACGCCAUUGCACUCCAGCCUGGGUGAUAGAGCAAGACUUUGUCUCAA